rnacentral:tRNA from 1 species
RCAAGCUGCAAAUUUGCUUCAGCACCCCAAAAAAGGUUGCCGGGGCUU